AUAAGGUCAGACCCAAAAAACGACGUCGCUUCCUCCUUUCACCUCAAAACCUCGUCUCCUCUAAGCUUUCGCCCAAGACCCACAAAUUCAAAUCCACCAUGGCCGAGCUCAGACCAAAAAACCACGGCCGAGCUCAAACACUUGCACGCCUAAAACACCUGGUUCAUCCUUGCUGCCGACGACUAUACCAUGGCCCAUGUCAUCAGACCUGUGUCGUCUCCAGAAACAGCGAUGUGGUUAUGCCCUCCAAGUGUUCGAUCAAAUUCCCAACCCGAGUGGCUUAUCGUAAUGAGAGGUUGUGCCCUUCAACUAAGCAGGGCAACAUUUUGAGCUAAUUAAGGAUCCUGAUAUGGAGCGUAUAGUCAGCUAGCUUAUAACUUUAAUUACUGCUCUAAAUGUUGAGGAAUCAUCUCAUCUCCAACAACAAGUAGUAGUUGUCACUCAUUCUCAAUCUCAUAUAUAUGGUCAAUCGGUAUCCUUGAAACAACACCUGGGAAACUUGAUAUUCGUGCUUCCACUCUAUCGAAAGCGCCUCCAGACGUCUCUCUUCGCCGCCUGACUUACUAGAACAACCUCGGUACUAUAGUUGCAGCAGUCAAUGGGGUAAUCUUCCCGGUUUAUGGUUGUUUUUUGUCAAGUGUAAUCAAGACUUUCUUUGAGCCGCCUCAUGAAUUCCAAGCCACCUUCCCUUUUUUAUCAAGACAUCAACUCUGGGGAAAUUGUUGGGAGGAUGUCAGAUAAAAGAGGCUUACAUGAACUUGGCUAAAGUUUACGGGGAGAGAAUUACAUUGGAGCUUGAAUCCAUUCAAUUUUCAGAUAGAUAAUCAAGUCAAGAACCUCUCCUGCUUCAAGGCCUGAAGUUUCUGUACAGGGCACAACAGGUUGCUUCGGUCACAGAGUCUAAAAUCUAAAUUAUUGCAAUCAAUCCAAUGAGUGAGACUGCUGUGUGUCCUUAUUACUCACUCAAGGUGGAUUAGGACAACCGAUUUGCCAUUAUGAUUCCAGUGCUUUGCAAGGAUGUUGAUACAUAAACCAUAUUUCCAGCUCAAAACUUGUUGAUACUUUCGGUGAAGCUGGUUUACGAGUUGAGGCAGAUUUGAGGGAUGACUACUCACCUGGUUGGUGUUCCUCCAACGAUUGAAAUUGGACCAGAGGAUUUGGCUAGUAAUCAAGGGGCAUUGACCCCUGCUUAAAUAUAUAUGUUGUAA